AGUUAUUUACUGAUGUAAUUAAUUGAUAUUGGUCAAACACAAAAGUCUUUGAGGAUCGUUGAAGGCAAUUCGGUCUGCGGGAGUUCAUAUUCUUUAUUACGAAAAACAGUGCCCGAGGAUCUGUCCCUGGCUGCUGUUGGCUGCUUGUUGAAGAUCCACUCCACGGCUGCUGGUAUGAGGAAAAGCUCCUGGGGGUAAUCUUGAGACAGAUGAACCAAGUCUGGAGACCCACCUGCAAAGUUCCAGAGAUGACUUCAAGGUGGCGAGUCAACAGCCUCACCAUUGUUGAGAUGACACCAGCCCGUGAUCCAGCUUCCACACAACAGCCCUGAUGUUUACCAGCAGGCGUCUCUUGUUUAGUCUCAUUGUCUUUGGCAAGUUCAAUCUCAACCAGAUUGUUGUUCUUCUCAAGAGGACUGAUCCCAGCAGGCUCCAGCCCUAAAGCGGACUGUUCGGGAGAUCUGUGUUAACUUUGUGUUUCAGUCCUCAGUCUCACGGUACUGGGUCCUACCGUGAGCGGAAAAUCCCUCUCUACAUCAGAACAGCCUUCUGGCCAUGCUACAGUCCUCGCUCAGAAACACGGCACACCAUAUAUAAAUAUGAUGGAUAAGCAGUGAGUGUGUAAAGACCUUGUGACUACUGAAUGUUUUGUAAAAGGUACGUAUCCAAAAUAAUUAAAAUCAGGACCUCAAAGAACUAUCUGCACUUCCAUGUUCAUUGCAGCAUUAUUCAUAAUAGCCCAAAUGUGGAAACCAUCUAAAUGCUCAUUGACAGAUGAAUGGAUAAAGAAAAUGUGGCACAUAUAUACCAUCAAAUAUUAUUUAGCCUUAAUACAGCAGAAAAUCCUGCCAUAUGCAAAAACAUGACUGAACCUACAGGAUGUUAUGGUGAUAUGAUAUCCACUGUCCACGUCAUCCAAAACCUAAGUUUGUUUGGCUUCAGAGUUGCAGGACAUUCCAAUUAUUCCACCUUUCUCAGCUUCCUACCCUUCGUGAUCCACUCCAGCCAACAUGUAAGGAGAAUCUGGGGGAGUAAAGGAGGGCAAAUUGGAAAAUGUCGCUUCUGUUACCCAGUCUCUGCCCAUUUUGGCCUUAAUAAAAUUUUGAUCAAAAUUUAAAAAUUAGGAAUAUGUGUGUUUCACCAUUUAUCUGUGAAGGAAAGAAUCCUGCCUUAUGCCUAAAAAUAUUUUAAUAAUGUGGUAACAUUACCACUAAUAAUAGAACCUGCCUACGCACCAACACAAUUCCAAUCUAAGAGUUAGUCAUAUCCUCCCAUCAAGACACUGUGUGCAGAUUUUCUUCAGUCAUAUUCAGAUGGGAUUUCAGGUUCCAGUCUGAAGACAAAGAGAUUAUAGAUCAGAAGAGACAUCUAAUUUCAACUAAAUCAUGCUUGCAAACAAAGCAACACACACACACACACACACACACACACACACACACACACACACACACGAAACCCUGCCUGUUUUCAUUUUUAUUAUCCCAUCUGGCACUACCCAGAUAAGAAAAUAACUAAAAUAAAUAUUUUCCAUUAACCAUUUGCAUAAAUCAUGAUUUACUCUCACAGGUAUCUCAACAGUACCCACACCGGUGAUAGGACUGAUAAUGUUGAUUGACUGUUUACUAUCUGCCAUGCACUUCUAGAAGAGCUUGACUUGGGUUUUCUCAUUUGUUUCUCAAAACAUUCUUAUGAGACAGACACCAUUAUUAUCCCCACAUUACAG
rnacentral:lncRNA from 10 species